UUCAGCUGCAGGAGAUCAGAUCAUUCUCUCCCUCACCUGUUGAAGGGGAGAAUUAGAGGAUUCAGUGGAGGAUGGCUUCAGUCUUCUAAGGCUAGCUCUCCCUGGUGUGAAGAAGGAAAUCAUUCUCACUUCCCUUCCCGGUGACUAGAGGUGAGCAUCAGAGGGACAUCUUUGACUUCCUGUGCAGGAAAUGAAGCCACUGGGCUGUUACGGAGCCAUCAUCAGCCUGGGAGUUGCUUAGAGGACCUUGAGGAAAGGUGAACCAGUUGUGGAGGUGGUGUUCCUGUGAUCUCACCUCCUCCACCUGUGGGAAUUUUAAUGCAGAUAAAUAUCACCAGGAAUCCCGAGAAUGAAUUCUGGUUCGAGCUGCUGUUUUUAUCACCUCCCUUCACAGUCUCCUGGGACAGAAAUCCAGACUGAAAAGCCUUGAAACUCCUCUUGGAUUUAUCUCCCACUAAAGGCAGCUGAAGGAGCGGAUCCGUUGAUCGGUGGAAGCCGGGCUCAAGAAUUAAUCAAAUAUCUCUAAUCUGAGUGAUGGCUGAGAGCAGCUGUGUGCAGGUUCCGAAUCUAGGAGAGAGAGGAAGAGAAAUGAUUUUGUCUGAAGAGCUGUGUUCUCUCCUAACAUUAGCAAAAACAGCAGGCUCUUGUGUUAAGUAGGUUAAGGUCCCUGAAGUAAGACUUAAAUCAGACAAAUAAGGGAAGUUAUAAAAGUUGAUAUUAAUGAGCAUAAAACACCCUUUGAAAUUCCUAAUGAAGCUUCUCCAGUUGCAAAUUCCCGGGGUCUAAUCUUUGCAAUGGCAUUCCCAAGGUCUCCAAGAUGUAUUGCUUGGGAACACAAGGGAAAUUUUCUAUGUAGUGGGAUGACACCCUGGGGAAUUUAGCGGAGCAACCAUUCUAGGGCACAACCGGUAUAGUUUCUCUAACUGAGGGAUGUACUGAAAUUGAUACCAUAUCACCUGAAGUAUCUUCCAUCUAUACCUCCCGCACUGUACGUCACAACAUCCCCUGCUAAGACCCCUUUACAGGAAGUGAGAGAAUAAAAGAAAUAUGACUUUAAUUGGCU